rnacentral:rRNA from 1 species
GACAGAGGUGCCGAGCGUUAGGCGGAAUCACUGGGCUUAAAGCGUGUGUAGGCGGGUGCCUAAGUACCUUGUGAAAUCCCACGGCUCAACCGUGGAACUGCUUGGUAUACUGGGUAUCUUGAGCCACUUAGGGGCAACCGGAACAAACGGUGGAGCGGUGAAAUGCGUAGAUAUCGCCUGGAACGCCGAAGGUGAAAACAGUCUGCUGGGGGCGCACCGACGCUGAGACACGAAAGCCAGGGGAGCGAACGGG